rnacentral:lncRNA from 1 species
CCCCGUGGCUGGCCUCGGCAGUGAGCUUCCCCCGGACGCCUGUAAGGACGCUUCGGGCUCAAUAUAUAGCCUCGCUUAGGCGGCUUUUUCAGCUCAGGGUGAGGCGCCGGCGCUACCCAGCGCGCAUUGCGGCUUAUGCUGAUUUAGAGCCGCCCAUUCGUCGGAAGGGGGUUGGGGGCGUGUCCCGGUGUGAGGGUUAAAGCGCGGGCUCAUGGGGGGGGGUGGCUCCGCCGUCUGAGGGGCUGUGUUCGGAGCUGGAGUCGCGAGCCUGCGUGGUGGGCAGUGGGGCUGAAACCUGCCCCACUGUGGGGCCCCAGGCUGUGCGGUCUCGAUUUCGGUCUGACAGGCUGUGGGGCUAAAACUUGCCUGUGACGGGCUAUAGGGGCUGCUUGGCUCCCAGGACCACAGAGCUGGAAGUGACGGGCCGAGCCCAGGAUGCUGUGCUGGGGGCUCCUAUUGCCCAGAAAAAUGCCUGUGCAGGGACACCAGAGGGUGUGUUGCCAGCCCUGGCACAUGGUGGCUGUCAAGGGCACUGAAGCACAAGAGACAAGUUCAGGAGACCUGGGUUCCUACAUUGUCCAGAGCUGUUGUAGUUGUCUUUCUGGCAGCCCAUGGAAGAAAGGAG